CAAAAACAUCGCCUCCUGAACAAAUAUAUGAGGUCCAGCCUGCCCAGUGAUAACAUUUAACGGCCGCGGUAUACUAACCGUGCGAAGGUAGCAUAAUCACUUGUUCUUUAAAUAGGGACUUGUAUCAACGGCAUCACGAGGACUAUACUGUCUCCCCUCUCCAAUCAGUGAAACUGAUCUUCCCGUGAAGAAGCGGGAAUUUAUAUAUAAGACGAGAAGACCCCAUGGAGCUUUAAACCCAGUAUACACCCCUUUACCCAAAUACCAAUUUAAUUUCAAAGGCCUGUAUAUUAGUUUUAGGCUGGGGGGGCCACGGAGUAAAACUUAACCUCCACAACAAAUGGGCUAAUUACCCUUAUCCAUGAUUUACAAAUCUAAGAAUUACAAAAAUGAUGUUUAAUGACCCGAUAAUUCGAUCAAUGAACCAAGUUACCCUGGGGAUAACAGCGCAAUCUACUUCAAGAGCCCAUAUCGACAAGUGGGUUUACGACCUCGAUGUUGGAUCAGGGCAUCCCAGUGGUGCAACCGCUACUAACGGUUCGUUUGUUCAACGAUUAAAACCCUACGUGAUCUGAGUUCAGACCGG
rnacentral:rRNA from 1 species